rnacentral:rRNA from 1 species
AGCAAAAAAUUUAGCCCGUGUAAUCUAAUGUAAAAAAUUUUUUAAAAAUUCAAAUUAAAACAUUUUAUUGACCCAGUAGAGGAGAUCAAAAAGUCCUCAGGAGCUAUAAACCAAGUACCGUAAGGGAAAAAUGAAAUAGAAAUGAAAAACUUUAAGCAUAAUAUAGUAGAGAUUUAUCCUCGUACCUUUUGCAUCAUGGUUUAACUAGUUAAACCAAGCAAAAAGAAUUUAAGUUUGACUUCCCGAAACUAAGUGAGCUACUUCAGGGCAGCUAAAAGAGCCAACUCGUCUCUGUUGCAAAAGAGUGAGAAGACCCUCAAGUAGGGGUGACAGACCUACCGAACUUAGUGAUAGCUGGUUAUUCAAGAAAAGAACAUUAGUUCAUCUAAAAAUUUUUUUAAAGUAUUAAUUUCAAUAAGAUUUUUAAAUUAUUCAAAUAAGGUACAGCCUAUUUGAACUAGGGUACAACCUAAACUAACGGGUAACCUAUUUUUUCUAUAGAUAAGUUGGCCUAAUAGCAGCCACCUUUUAAAAAGCGUCAAAGCUUUCCUAUUAUUAUACUUAAUUUCACACUAAAUAAGAAACCCUUUACCAGUAUUGAAUACUUCUAUAUGAUUAUAGAACUUUUUAUGUUAAAACUAGUAACAAGAAGAAGAACUUCUCUUAAAUGUAAGUGUAUAUCAGCCUGGACUAACCACUGAUCAUUAACGCUAAUGAACAAACAGAAGUAACAACUCUAGAAAAGCCUUCUACUUAAUAUCGUUAACCUUACACAAGAACAUUAAAAGAAAGAUUAAAAAAAAAGGAAGGAACUCGGCAAAUAUUAACCCCGCCUGUUUACCAAAAACAUCGCCUCUUGUUUACUAUAAGAGGUCCAGCCUGCCCAGUGACUAAAUUUAACGGCCGCGGUAUCCUAACCGUGCGAAGGUAGCGUAAUCACUUGUUCUUUAAAUAAGGACUAGUAUGAAUGGCACCACGAAGGUUAUACUGUCUCCCCUUUUUAAUCAGUGAAACUAAUCUCCCCGUGAAGAAGCGGGGAUAAAAAUAUAAGACGAGAAGACCCUAUGGAGCUUUAGACUUUAUGGUAAAUGUCAUUAACCUUCUAUACCCUCAGGGAACUAAAUUAUAUUUAUUCAUAAUAACCAUUAGUCUUAGGUUGGGGUGACCGCGGAGUAAAAUUUAACCUCCAUGAUGAAAGAAAAUAAAAUUCUUAGCCAAGAGUUACAACUCUAAGUACCAAAAACUUGACAUAAAUUGAUCCAAUUUUUUGAUCAACGAACCAAGUUACCCUAGGGAUAACAGCGCAAUCUACUUCAAGAGCCCCUAUCGACAAGUAGGUUUACGACCUCGAUGUUGGAUCAGGGUAUCCUAGUGGUGCA